CUCAUGGACCAUAGCAUUCUGAAAGCACUUGAUCCCAUUAAAUCUUGGAAGUUAAGCAAGGUUGGUGCCUGUUACUAUUCGGAUGAGA
ensembl:rRNA 5S_rRNA 5S ribosomal RNA